UACGUAGGGUGCGAGCGUUGUUCGGAAUCACUGGGCGUAAAGGGCGUGUAGGCGGUCAGGUAAGUGAGACGUGAAAUGCCCCGGCUUACCCGGGGACCUGCGUCUCAUACUGCUUGGCUUGAGUACGGGAGAGGGUGUGGGAAUUCCUGGUGUAGCGGUGAAAUGCGUAGAUAUCAGGAGGAACACCGGUGGCGAAGGCGCACACCUGGCCCGAUACUGACGCUGAGGCGCGAAAGCUAGGGGAGCAAACGGG
rnacentral:rRNA from 1 species